UGGAAGUAAAAAGUCGUAACAAGGUCUCCGUUGGUGAACCAGCGGAGGGAUCAUUACUGAGUUUACGCUCUACAACCCUUUGUGAACAUACCUAUAACUGUUGCUUCGGCGGGUAGGGUCUCCGUGACCCUCCCGGCCUCCCGCCCCCGGGCGGGUCGGCGCCCGCCGGAGGAUAACCAAACUCUGAUUUAACGACGUUUCUUCUGAGUGGUACAAGCAAAUAAUCAAAACUUUUAACAACGGAUCUCUUGGUUCUGGCAUCGAUGAAGAACGCAGCGAAAUGCGAUAAGUAAUGUGAAUUGCAGAAUUCAGUGAAUCAUCGAAUCUUUGAACGCACAUUGCGCCCGCCAGCAUUCUGGCGGGCAUGCCUGUUCGAGCGUCAUUUCAACCCUCAAGCUCUGCUUGGUGUUGGGGCCCUACAGCUGAUGUAGGCCCUCAAAGGUAGUGGCGGACCCUCCCGGAGCCUCCUUUGCGUAGUAACUUUACGUCUCGCACUGGGAUCCGGAGGGACUCUUGCCGUAAAACCCCCAAUUUUCCAAAGGUUGACC
rnacentral:rRNA from 1 species